rnacentral:tRNA from 1 species
UUCCUCGUGGCCCAAUGGUCACGGCGUCUGGCUACGAAAACCAGAAGAUUCCAGGUUCGACUCCUGGCGGGGAAG